GCCCUAGUGGCGCAGUGGUUAAGUAUUUGACUGCUAACCAAAGGUUGGUGGUUUGAACCCACCCAGCGGUG
rnacentral:tRNA from 1 species